rnacentral:misc_RNA from 1 species
AAGGAUCAUUAUUGAAUAAACUUGGUGGGUUGUAGCUGGCUUCUUGAAGCAUGUGCACGCCCAUCAUCUUUAUCUAUCAUCCACCUGUGCACCUUUUGUAGUCUUGUGAAAUGAGAACGGUAGACCCUCGAUAAGGUGACUAGCCUUUCGGAAAUGGGGAAUGCUGCGUGAAAAGCGUAGCUCUCGCCAAAAUGCCUGUGAUCAUUUCUAGGACUAUGUCUCUUCAUAUACCAUAUAGUAUGUUGCAGAAUGUAUCAAAUGGGCCUAUGUGCCUAUAAAAAUCAAUACAACUUUCAGCAACGGAUCUCUUGGCUCUC